GGCAGCGGGAAAGUAGCUUGCUACUUUUGCCGGCGAGCGGCGGACGGGUGAGUAAUGCCUGGGAAAUUGCCCAGUCGAGGGGGAUAACAGUUGGAAACGACUGCUAAUACCGCAUACGCCCUACGGGGGAAAGCAGGGGACCUUCGGGCCUUGCGCGAUUGGAUAUGCCCAGGUGGGAUUAGCUUGUUGGUGAGGUAAUGGCUCACCAAGGCGACGAUCCCUAGCUGGUCUGAGAGGAUGAUCAGCCACACUGGAACUGAGACACGGUCCAGACUCCUACGGGAGGCAGCAGUGGGGAAUAUUGCACAAUGGGGGAAACCCUGAUGCAGCCAUGCCGCGUGUGUGAAGAAGGCCUUCGGGUUGUAAAGCACUUUCAGCGAGGAGGAAAGGUUGGUAGCUAAUAASUGCCARCUGUGACGUUACUCGCAGAAGAAGC
rnacentral:rRNA from 1 species